AGACAACUUCCAUCGGUCGUUUGUGAAGGAAGUUCUACAACUUAUAUUAAUCACUCUCGACACCUCAUUCCUGAUGGAAUCAAUCGCCACGAGGGUAUGAGAGAAGAGGCCAGUUUCCCUUUUAAUGCUGAGCGCCAAGCAAGAGAGCUACUGGUUCCAUAUUUCAUAUCUUUGGUAUAAUGCGGCCGGGGAUCUAACCCACGACCUCCCGCACUCGAAGAGGACGCUCUACCACUAGACUAUCGAGGCAUUAACCAUUUUUAUUGAGAACAGAUGUCAAACACAUAGACCAAAAAUACUGAUAGCCAUGCGCAUGGUUUUAGUGCUCGCAAUUUUACUAGCCGAAGCGGCAGCACAAUAUCCAUAUGGAAUAUUUGCUCCUCCAACGUAUGGGGAUUGGAAUGAUUUUGACAGGGGCGAUCGCUUUGACACAGAUAACCGCUUUGACAUGAGUGACCGCUUUGACGCGGGCGACCGCUUUGGCGACCGCUAUGACGCGGGCGACCGCUUUGACACUGACUUUGGCAACCGCUUUGACCGUGACUUCGACAACCGCGGCAACGACUUUGGCUAUUGGUGAAACACAUGAGUGUUGUGGUAGUGACAGGCACGGCGACUUGGACUAAGACGAGCAACAAACAUUAUGGACAGUAUUGUUACCACGCAGUUUUCAACGUUUCAAAGUCCCCGAAGAAUCUAAAUAUUUCGUCGUUGUUGAUUUUAAUGUUCUUGAGAAUGAUUUAAAUUUAUCAAAAUAAAUUCUGCCGACUGAUUUUCUUAUG